rnacentral:rRNA from 1 species
AUUGAACGCUGGCGGCAGGCCUAACACAUGCAAGUCGAGCGGAUGAAGGGAGCUUGCUCCUGGAUUCAGCGGCGGACGGGUGAGUAAUGCCUAGGAAUCUGCCUGGUAGUGGGGGAUAACGUCCGGAAACGGGCGCUAAUACCGCAUACGUCCUGAGGGAGAAAGUGGGGGAUCUUCGGACCUCACGCUAUCAGAUGAGCCUAGGUCGGAUUAGCUAGUUGGUGGGGUAAAGGCCUACCAAGGCGACGAUCCGUAACUGGUCUGAGAGGAUGAUCAGUCACACUGGAACUGAGACACGGUCCAGACUCCUACGGGAGGCAGCAGUGGGGAAUAUUGGACAAUGGGCGAAAGCCUGAUCCAGCAAUGCCGCGUGUGUGAAGAAGGUCUUCGGAUUGUAAAGCACUUUAAGUUGGGAGGAAGGGCAGUAAGUUAAUACCUUGCUGUUUUGACGUUACCAACAGAAUAAGCACCGGCUAACUACGUG